UCAACAACAACCGCUUCGAGGUGAGCCACGUCCACAAGGUGGAGUGUGUGGUACCGUGGCUGAACGACACGCUGGUGUUCUUCACUAUCUCUCUGCAGCUCUGCCAGCAGCUAAAGGACAAGAUCUCUGUCUUCUCCAGCUUCUGGAACUACAGGCCGUUCUGAGCCUCUUCGUGCCGACCUCUUUCUUUGUUAUACACAGUACAUAUACACAUAUAUAUAUAUAUAUAUAUAUAUCAUGCAUUCAUUCAGCUUCAAGUGUUGCAUGGUCAGUGAAGGAGCCAAUCAAACCCACAGAUAUCAAUAUUCACACGGUGUUAGCCAGGCUGACUGAAAUUUGUGUGUGUGUGUGUGUGUGUGUGUGUGUGUGUGUGUGUGUGUGUGUGUGUGUGUGUGUGUGUGUGUGUGUGUGUGUGUGUGUGUGCGCUCUCACAGCACUGACUGGAACAUCUCAAUGAAUGAAUGAAUGGAAGCAUGAAUGAGAUUGUUGUUAGAAUGAAUUUAUAAUGAUGUGUGAGUGAGUAUUCCUCCUCCUAGCUGUGUCACUGUGUGCAGCACUCAGGGCGGGAACACAAAGCAGUUCUAGGAGGUCAAUUUUUGUUUGAUUUUAUAAUAUAAUGGUACUCUCUUGAAAAGGCCCUCCACCAAUGUCACAACCCAAAACUAUCAGGCUAUUAAUACUAAGCCAGGUGUUAUCAUGAGUUAUCUGUGGGUGAGCUCUCAUGGUCCAGCUCUGGUCUAAGUCUAUGGAUGAGGCACUAAACUGUGUGUAAAUGCUUCACUAAACAUCAUGAGAACAUUGUCACCUCUCAGCGGUCACAUAUUAUGAAGUGGGAGUUAGAAGAAGAAGAAGCUUCUGUCUGUCCAAAUAUCAAAAAGCCAAAGUGUGUUCAUGCUGCUAACAUCAGCUGUUGCUCACUCACAUCAAGAACACAAGGCUCCCCAUCUACAGAAGCCUUUCAGCUCACACUUGAAGAGCAUGCUUGUAUAUGAUCCGCUUCAGACUGGAUCACCACCAACAAACGGCUGAGAAGGACUUUGUGACAGAGCCUAGAUGAUGCAGCUUUGAAAAUGCCUUUAGUUUGUAUUUGUAGACCACUAACUCCUAAUAAACAGUGUGUGUCAGGAACUCAAAGGGUCAAAGUGGGCAUUCACUUGGAAUGAGGAUUAAUCAAAAGAUUUUUUUGAGUUUUCUGUAACAUAAAUGACAGACUCAGUCAGGAUGUUUCAGCCGCUACAGCACAGAUGUGUUCUGUCUGCAAGUCCCCCGACUUUAUGGAUACAAACAAUCAGUCAUCUCCAGUACACCCAGCUGUGAUGUUAGUCAAUUGAGUCCAUGAUUAAAGCACUGGGUGUCUAACGUGAGGAAUGCAGAGUGUUGCAAUAGAAAGUGUUAUCUGAGGGGAUGGAGGGUCAUAGUGUGUGUGAGUAUUGAUGGUGUUGAAUAUGUUGUAGACAGAUGAUAGAGUAGAUCAGUCCUCAGAGGGGCAGCUCCAAAGCCCCCCUCAGACACUGAUGUUAAACAUCUCAUGUCAGCAUAUCCUUAAGUUCUUUUAUAUUUGUUUUUCCAGCAUGUCAUUGUUGGAUUUUUUGAUGAUUGAUUAUUGCCCCACUUGGUGGAACUGACACAACUCACAUUCCUGUUUGUUUCAAUGAUAAGCUACCUGUGUGAUGUCAUCUUUGUUUCUGUUGAUUUCACAUGUUGUGCACUUGAUGUUGUUGAUUCCCUGUGAACACUGAUCCAAUCAUGAACAAAUGACUUCAUUCCAGUAAGUGUUAAACUAUCUUAAAAAGCUGCCUAUCAUAAUAUCAAUAAAAAGAUUCUAAAGGAUAA